UGCAAGUCGAGCGGGGAAAUGUUAGCUUUCGCGUACCUAGACCUAGCGGCGGACGGGUGAGUAAUGGCUUAGGAAUCUGCCUAUUAGUGGGGGACAACGUUCCGAAAGGAACGCUAAUACCGCAUACGCCCUACGGGGGAAAGCAGGGGAUCUUCGGACCUUGCGCUAAUAGAUGAGCCUAAGUCGGAUUAGCUAGUUGGUGGGGUAAAGGCCUACCAAGGCGACGAUCUGUAGCGGGUCUGAGAGGAUGAUCCGCCACACUGGGACUGAGACACGGCCCAGACUCCUACGGGAGGCAGCAGUGGGGAAUAUUGGACAAUGGGCGGAAGCCUGAUCCAGCCAUGCCGCGUGUGUGAAGAAGGCCUUUUGGUUGUAAAGCACUUUAAGCGAGGAGGAGGCUCCUUUAGUUAAUACCUAAAGUGAGUGGACGUUACUCGCAGAAUAAGCACCGGCUAACUCUGUGCCAGCAGCCGCGGUAAUACAGAGGGUGCGAGCGUUAAUCGGAUUUACUGGGCGUAAAGCGUGCGUAGGCGGCUUUUUAAGUCGGAUGUGAAAUCCCUGAGCUUAACUUAGGAAUUGCAUUCGAUACUGGAAAGCUAGAGUAUGGGAGAGGAUGGUAGAAUUCCAGGUGUAGCGGUGAAAUGCGUAGAGAUCUGGAGGAAUACCGAUGGCGAAGGCAGCCAUCUGGCCUAAUACUGACGCUGAGGUACGAAAGCAUGGGGAGCAAACAGGAUUAGAUACCCUGGUAGUCCAUGCCGUAAACAAUGUCUACUAGCCGUUGGGGCCUUUGAGGCUUUAGUGGCGCAGCUAACGCGAUAAGUAGACCGCCUGGGGAGUACGGUCGCAAGACUAAAACUCAAAUGAAUUGACGGGGGCCCGCACAACCGGUGGAGCAGGUGGUUUAGUUCUAUGCAACGCGAAAAACCUUAACUCGCCCUUGAAUUACUAAGAACUUUCCAAAUAUGGAAUGGUGCCUUCGGGAACUUAAAAUACAAGAGCCUCCAUGGGCUGGCGUCAACUCAUAGCCCUCCCCUGUUUGGGUAAAGUUCGGCUACCAACCCCCAACCCUUUUUCC
rnacentral:rRNA from 1 species